rnacentral:tRNA from 1 species
GCUUAGGUGGCAAAAGGCAUGCCUAGGCCUUUAAAGACGGGCAUUUUAUUUUUUAAAUGUUAAACAUACUAAUUAAAAUAAACAUAGUACUUUUUAAUUAUUUUAUUGAAAUAAAAUAAAAUAAAAUAGUGACUUAUAAUGAUAUCUAAAAAUAAUUAAAAUAAUAUUAAAAAUGAAAAGCACCUCAUCAUGAGUCUAGGUUCAAUUCGAGACUUGAGCU